CUUCAGCUCCCAACGGUCGCUCCCCGGCGCUGGGUCCAGAGCGGCCCGAGGAGGGGAUGCUCUGUGUGCCGGAACGGUGAGAGUUUCUCAGAGGCAAUCCUCCCGUUGCAGCUGCUGCCAGCACUGAAAACCUGUGUGCUUCGUGGUGUCCAUCGCCCAGCUGGCAACGAUUCCCUGGUGUUUGGUGCAUUAAGUCACACCCAGCUGUGUGGGAUGGCAGAGUCAGGUGGGCCCUUUAUUGAACAGAUUUAUCUGCUACAAGGCUAC